AAUGGGAGGAAAACAGUAGCUUUUGACUUUUAUGUUUUUUCAAAAAGCAGAAAAGUAACUAAAUUAACCCUCUGAUGAUGUGAAUAGUUCAGGAUUGUCUCGCAACCAGGAAAUGGCCAACAGACCUCAAAUGACUAAUGAACCCUAACGGAAAUAUUAAGUGGACCUUUAGCAGACCGUAUUCUAGUGGAGUGUUCAAAUACCACCCAGAACAACAGAGUGAGAGAAAAGAGGGCUCACUAUGGAUUUAAGAUCAGCAGCAAGAGGAUUUCUAGCUUUCCUUCUGUCAGUACCAGACAACUUCCAUCAUCGGACAAUCAUACAGUAAAACCAUCCUCCAUCCCUCCCUCCAUCUCUCCCUCUCUCCACAUUAAAAAAAAACACUGAAAAUACCUGCAGUAAACAACCAGAAGAGCUGGAGCACGAGUGCUUUCCGAAUCAGUUAUGAUAUUGUUGGGAAAAAAUCAGAUACAAUUUAUCAAAUUACCAAGUCAUGAAAAAUAUAAAUAAAAAGUUGGGCUUAUUAUUAUCCGAUUUUUGUACCACA
ensembl:lncRNA